CGGCUGAAAUCAUUGCUUGGCAGAAGAAGAAUUAGUCAUCAAUGAAUUAUGGCAUUUUGUUGUUUAUUUUAUAAAAUCUUACCAGCUAUAUGUAGUGAUUUACAGAAGCAAUUUGUGGGAAUCUCUAUAAAUGUUCGUCUUGGGCUUGUCCGUAUAUUCUGCUUUGAUGUAAACAUGCUGUGUGUCGGUGUUUGUGCAGGCGAUGAGUAUGUUCAGCAGUGCUCUGGCCUCUGGGCAGCUCGGCCCGCUCAUGAACCAGUUUGGUCUGCCCUCUGAAGCAGUGGACGCAGCUAAUAAAGGAGAUGUGGAAGCGUUUGCCAAGGCCAUGGAGGGCAGUGAUAGCAAA